rnacentral:rRNA from 1 species
AUUGAACGCUGGCGGCAGGCUUAACACAUGCAAGUCGAGCGGGGUGAUGGUGCUUGCACUAUCACCUAGCGGCGGACGGGUGAGUAAUGCUUAGGAAUCUGCCUAUUAGUGGGGGACAACAUCUCGAAAGGGAUGCUAAUACCGCAUACGUCCUACGGGAGAAAGCAGGGGAUCACUUGUGACCUUGCGCUAAUCGAUGAGCCUAAGUCGGAUUAGCUAGUUGGUGGGGUAAAGGCCUACCAAGGCGACGAUCUGUAGCGGGUCUGAGAGGAUGAUCCGCCACACUGGGACUGAGACACGGCCCAGACUCCUACGGGAGGCAGCAGUGGGGAAUAUUGGACAAUGGGGGGAACCCUGAUCCAGCCAUGCCGCGUGUGUGAAGAAGGCCUUAUGGUUGUAAAGCACUUUAAGCGAGGAGGAGGCUCUUUUGGUUAAUACCCAAGAUGAGUGGACGUUACUCGCAGAAUAAGCACCGGCUAACUCUGUGCCAGCAGCCGCCGUAA